rnacentral:rRNA from 2 species
UACGGAGGAUCCGAGCGUUAUCCGGAUUUAUUGGGUUUAAAGGGUGCGUAGGUGGUUUGAUAAGUCAGCGGUGAAAGUUUGCAGCUUAACUGUAAAAAUGCCGUUGAAACUGUCGGACUUGAGUGUAAAUGAGGUAGGCGGAAUGCGUGGUGUAGCGGUGAAAUGCAUAGAUAUCACGCAGAACUCCGAUUGCGAAGGCAGCUUACUAAGCUACAACUGACACUGAAGCACGAAAGCGUGGGGAUCAAACAGG